UGUAAGAUGUGCCGGAUGUGAGC
rnacentral:piRNA from 1 species